UACGUAGGGUGCGAGCGUUGUCCGGAAUUAUUGGGCGUAAGGAGCUUGUAGGCGGUUUGUCGCGUCUGCCGUGAAAUUUCGAGGCUCAACCUCGAACUUGCGGUGGGUACGGGCAGACUAGAGUGUGGUAGGGGGAGACUGGAAUUCCUGGUGUAGCGGUGAAAUGCGCAGAUAUCAGGAGGAACACCGAUGGCGAAGGCAGGUCUCUGGGCCACUACUGACGCUGAGAAGCGAAAGCAUGGGGAGCGAACAGG
rnacentral:rRNA from 1 species